AGCGGCCCAGAGGCUCUGAAUGCCCUCCCAGAUUCACUGUGAUCUUGCAUUCCCGGCGAGGUUUGGAAAACUUGCAGCAGGGAUCCAGGCAUCAGUGUGCAGCCAGUGUUGAGAAUCACUGCUUUGGGAGGUGGUCACAGAAGCCCAAGCAAGAAAUGACGACCAUCUAACUGAGGAGUGUGGCCAUGAAGAGGAAUUUGAGAUCUAUUUUUGAGCGUAGAUACUGGAUCCUUCAGGUUUGGUUGGUGUUCACCCUCAAGCCUCCAUGCCAAUGCACAUUUACUCGGGCCACUCUGAAAAUUCACUUGUGAUGCCUCCCUGUCAGUUUUGCCUGGAAUUCUAUUUCCUGCCCUUCUUCCUGGAAGACUCUUACAUAUCCUUCUAAGCUCUUCCCAAAGGAGCCCUCCCUUCUUGAAUUGGAAAGGUGGACUGUUUUAGAUGUGGAGCACAUGAAAGUGACUGGGGCAAACUGUGUGUAGGGGACAGACAGAGGUAAUCAGGGACUGAGAGGGUCUAAGAGAGCACUCCAUGAAGACCCCAAAUCAACACUGAACAUACGAAGUACUGAAUGCUGUGUGUCGUGCCCCCUGCUGUCUGUGAGCUUUUCUCUCAGUCCUGGGACAUGGUGCAUGAGGAGUGUGAAAUGGUUGAGCCUCCAUUCCCUUGCGAGAAACUCUUCCCUAAAGAGUGAGCUGAUAAGCAGGACCCCCAUCCCCUCCCAAUUCUCCUCAGGAUGCACCUGCUCGUCUUUCUCCAGGACAGCCUCUACCACAUCACCAACCCAUGCUGUUGAACCACCAAGAAGACCACUGAUUCUGAUUCGAAUUUCUCCCAAUGGUCUCCCCCAUGGCCUCUGUUCAGGGAAUGUGUGCCUCCCAUGGGGAGGACCCAGGUUGUGAGACUGAAGGUCUUUUGACUCUCUUGGGCUGAAGGUGGAGGUCGUUGGCUAAGAGUUAUGAGCUAGGUUGAAAGAAAACCGUAAGGUAAAUUCACCUAAUAGGGACAUCUGGAGAACAAAGUGUCUGUGAUCCUCUAUGAACUGCUGGUGUGUGACCUUGUGUGACCUCAGGUAAACCACUUGAUCUCUCUGAGCCUUAGUUUCGACAUCUUCAAAAUGGGAAUCAAAUAGCGAUCUUUUAGGGCUGCUGUAAUAAGUAAAUAUGUUACACUACCUUUCGUGUUUAGUUUUUCCAUUUAGAUUUUAAUUCCAUUUCAAUUGAUUUUUGUGUCUGGCGUAAUGUUGGUAUUUAACUUAUUUUUUCCCUGAAUGAAUAGACAAUCGUACCAUAACACCAUUUAUUGAAUAACUCCCUCUUGCUCUCAUCAAUGUGAAAUUCCAUCUUUAUCAUACACUGAAUUCUGAUCUGUUUGUUUCUGGACACUCAAAUUCUGUUCUGUUAAUCCACUGGCCUAUUCCUGGACCAAUAUCACACUGUUUUAUUAUUGUAGCUUCACAAUAUGUUGUGAUAUGUGCUCCCUUAUCAUUAUUCUUCGAUUGCAAGAUUUUCUUAAUUGUUUUUAGGCAUGUGUUUUAUCCCCCCGGAAGAAAGUUCUUUUCAAGUUCUUAAGUGCCAAGACAUAUUGGAACUCAAUUCUAACUGGGUACAAAUUCAUAGGGAUUCAAGGAAUGUCUUAGUCACCUUGAACUACUAUAACAAAAUACCUUAGGUUGGCUGACUUAAACAAUGGAAAUCUAUGUUUUAUAGGUCUGGAGCCUGGAGGUCCAACAAGGUCAGGUCCUGGUGAGGACCCCCUUUCCAGCUUGCAGUUGUCCACUUUCUAGCUGAAUCCUCAUAUGGCGGAGAGACAGAGAGAGCUCUUAAGUCGCUUCCACUCUUCAUAAGAGCCUUAAUUCCAUCACGAAGACCCCAUCCUUAUGACAUCACCUAAAGACCUCACGCCAAAUGCCAUCAGAGUGGAGAUCAGGGCUUCAAUAUGUGAAUUUGGGGGGCACAAAUGUUCCCCCAAAAUCUCAUCUCUUUUAUACAGUGACUUCUCCUAAUUAGGAGAACGGCAUGUAUUUCAAUUUAC